GACGAACGCUGGCGGCGUGCUUAACACAUGCAAGUCGAACGGAAAGGCCUCUUUCGGGGGGUACUCGAGUGGCGAACGGGUGAGUAACACGUGAGUAACCUGCCCUUGACUUUGGGAUAACUUCAGGAAACUGGGGCUAAUACCGGAUAAGAGCUCCUGCUGCAUGGUGGGGGUUGGAAAGUUUCGGCGGUUGGGGAUGGACUCGCGGCUUAUCAGCUUGUUGGUGGGGCAGUGGCUUACCAAGGCUUUGACGGGUAGCCGGCCUGAGAGGGUGACCGGCCACAUUGGGACUGAGAUACGGCCCAGACUCCUACGGGAGGCAGCAGUGGGGAAUAUUGCACAAUGGGUGGAAGCCUGAUGCAGCAACGCCGGGUGCGGGAUGACGGCCUUCGGGUUGUAAACCGCUUUCGCUCAUGACGAAGCUUUGCGUGACGGUAGUGGGUAAAGAAGCACCGGCUAACUACGUG
rnacentral:rRNA from 1 species